rnacentral:lncRNA from 1 species
UAACUUACAAGUUAAGCACCAAAAUCUUACACCUUUUAAACAUCGUGAGAUUGCUAUUCAAUAAAAAUGCUCGCACCAAGUAGUCAUGACUAACUGGAUGCCGAAGCUUCACACACUGUUUUUGACAUCCAAGUUAAAUACCUUUGAAAGGAAAAAAAUGCAUUACAUGUUUCAAAAGAAAAGAAAUAUGUGUAUAUAUGCAUGUCUUUUUCUGUGUGUAUCAAUCUCAUUAUCUUUUA